CCUCUACUGGUUGUGUCAGAAUUAUACCAAUGACACCACUCGCCUCAAUUCUGCUUGAUAAGGUACACGCAAGCACCUCCUUUUGACUCUUCGGUUUAUGCUAUAUCCUACUUCAUUCCCUUUUCAAUCAUCUCCUUCUCGGGCCAUGUAAUCUUCUCGGUUUAUGUGAUUAAAAAAGUAUUUCUUUUCUGAUGAUGUACCCUCCUUCUGACGAACUUAUUUUCUUGUGUGAAUUGAUGCUUCAAAAUAUGUUUGUAAACACGUCGCUUGCAUUUAACAACGCAGGGUUCUCUUGAUGGAGAAGAAUAACUGUCCACAGAAUUGUCCGUGUUGUCCGUGUUGCCCGUACUUCCCCCCUUCGUCCGCCGACAACAUUUCGUGGUGGGAUACUCCGAGAUGGGUCAUCGUCGGCAUCGUAGUUGUCGCCAUCGUAAUCUGUGGUUUCCUUUUAUACUUUCGUCGCGGUCCUAAGGACACAGAGGGCAAUCUCUCGGUGAAACCAGAAAUUACCUUUGGUAUAGACAGUUUGAACAUUUCGAUUCCGUUGUCGUUAGGGUCCUCCUCCAAAUGAUAAUAAUCUGCGAGCUUCUGGACAUGUUUCUGUGUGAAACUCGAAUUAUGUAUAGUGACAGAUCGUCUAAUCUAGUAUCCAGCAUUGGAGAUUUGAUGCAAUAAAUAAUUGUGUUGGAGGAAAAAAAAUUGUGAUUAAGGGUUUAUUAAAAUUUCAGUAGUUCUAUGGUCUGUCAAUAAAUG
rnacentral:lncRNA from 1 species